CUACGGGUCGCAGCAGUGGGGAAUAUUGCACAAUGGGCGCAAGCCUGAUGCAGCCAUGCCGCGUGUAUGAAGAAGGCCUUCGGGUUGUAAAGUACUUUCAGCGGGGAGGAAGGGAGUAAAGUUAGUACCUUUGCUCAUUGACGUUACCCGCAGAAGAAGCACCGGCUAACUCCGUGCCAGCAGCCGCGGUAAUACGGAGGGUGCAAGCGUUAAUCGGAAUUACUGGGCGUAAAGCGCACGCAGGCGGUUUGUUAAGUCAGAUGUGAAAUCCCCGGGCUCAACCUGGGAACUGCAUCUGAUACUGGCCAGCUUGAGUCUCGGAGAGGGGGGUAGAAUGCCAGGUGUAGCGGUGAAAUGCGUAGAGAUCUGGAGGAAUACCGGUGGCGAAGGCGGCCCCCUGGACGAAGACUGACGCUCAGGUGCGAAAGCGUGGGGAGCAAACAGGAUUAGAUACCCCCGUAGUC
rnacentral:rRNA from 1 species